AUUAAACUGUUGGUGCUUGGGUUUCCUAGUGACAUAAUUAGCUUUCUCUGAUGCCUGAGCGAGGGCUCCGUGGGAAGUCCUUGGCGCACUCAGGGGAAAGACGCUAGGCCAGCAGGCUGAGUCGACCAAACCAGACCAGUUAACGUCGGAGACAUUUACGUGGAAGACCAUCGUUACAAAGGAAUAGCUUGUCCAAGAAUCUCCGUGGUUUCCUAGGAACAGACAUUUCCUGCUUUUGUUUUCAAAAGGGCCAUUCACGAAUCCGUGGUUGGGAAUGUGGGCAUCUAGGCAUGUGGAGAGGAGGUCUGGCUGGGGGCCGAGAGACCCCUCCCCGCGGCCCACUCCAGACCAUGGGCUCUGCCUGCAGUGCCCUCACAUGCCCCCGCCGCUCUAGGCGGAGCCCGCUUCUGUGUGCUCAGCCCCGCCCCGCACAGCUCCCCUAGGCCUCUGGCCCUGCGCUCUGCCCCCAGCACCCCCCAGCAUCCCCGUCUGCCCCCAGCAGCACGAGCACAGGGAACACCUCUGGGUGUGAACACCCGCCUGCUCAGCCUCGAGCUCCUCCACGGCCCACCCCUCAGCCCCCGUUUUGUUUUCUUCUUCCCUCCAUGGCCAGGCUCUCGGGACAGGUUUACAUGUGCUGCCUCCACGUCUUGCUUUUCUACUCAUUCCUGCAGGACUCUCUCUCCCCAGACGGCUCCCACCAAGGUCACCCGUGACCCCCAAGCGGCCACAUCCCAUGGACACCUGUCUGGCCUCCAGGUGCUGGGCCUCUAAGUAGCCCACAGCACAGCAGACCUUGAACCCCCUCUGCCCUUGGCUUCCAGGGCGUCUCAUCCUGCUGGGUCUCCUCUACUGCUCUUGCUUUUCAUUCUCGGACGCUUGCAGCUUCAUCUCUACCUGCCCUCUGACUGCUGGUGUUUCCCGGGCUCAGUCUUGGAUAUUUUAUCAAAGCAGGCCCUGGCCUGGGAGCUGGCAGCUCAGAAGCCAGCCCUUUGUGGACUCACGUUUCAUUUUUACCCGUAACACUGGCAGGGCAGUGCAGCAAGCCAACGACCUUGGCUUCCAGCCCCAGCUGCAUGUCCCACAGCCAAGCACCUGACUGUACCUUUCCCAAACUGAGCCCCACUCCGGUGGGUAGGCUGGUCCUGGCCCGUGGAGUUCAGCCCUCCCUCAGCAUCCUUGCUCCUUCCUGAGACCCAGAGCCUCCACCCCCCUUACAGAUUCUAAGAGCACCCUUCAUUUAAUGAGGGUCUCCAGCACUGCCUACCUGCCAGGCACCAUUUCCAGCACUGGGGAUACAGCAACGAACAAAGCACAAUUUCUGUCUCUCACUGGGCAUCUGUGCCAGGGGAGGAGACUGCAUGGGGGAAAAUAAAACAGGGCAGGGAAGGGGGAUACGGAACGCUGGAGGAGGGAUCCCUCUGGUUGCUAGGGUAAAAAUACGCUGCAGGGGAUUGGAGCAGGACAUGGUGCUCCAGGUGAAAUACGGCAGUGGUUUGACCCAGGAGGUGAGCAAAACGGGCAGAGUCUGGAUACCGCUCCACGGGCUGAGUCGACAGGGUCAGCAGAGGUGCCGUCUGGGGGCUGAAUAUGUGCAAAAAUGAAUGAGCGAUUUUGCCUCCUUCUUUCAAAAGUGAUCUUUGUCCCUUGGGCCAUUCAGCAAAAGACUUCCAACAAGACAUUCAGCACAUGGGUGGCGACGUACAGAGAUUCUCUGCCUGUGUCACGCCUUUCACAGCCCCGACACCACCGACCCUUCAGCAGCCUACAUUUCUUUGGUUCCAGUUUGGAUGCUUAGAGUGAUUUACCCAAGGAGUUAAUUCUUUACACCCAUCCGAGAAGUUCCAACUUACCAUCAUUUCUUUAAUUCAUAAUUUAAUCAAUGUGUUUCCCAAUAAAUAUGCAGAGGUAAGAAAUAUUCCCCAAGACCUGACGCAGCAGUAUCCUUAGUCUAGAGUCCACAGAAGGAUGGAACGAGACAGAGUAGAAAUCUGGAAAUUUAGGGCAGCAAAUAGGCUACUCUUCUAGGUUUCAAAGUCCAAGAAGAAAUGGGUUUGCGAAAAAAAAGAAAGAAAGAAAAAGCUUAUGGUGACCAAAGGGGACAGGUGGAGGGGCGAAGGGAUGGACCGGGGUGUGGGCCUGGCAUGUACCCACUGGGGUACGCGGAAUGACGGUCUAGUGUGGACCUGCUGUAGCGCACAGAGAAGGCUACACAGUAUUCCGUGACGGUGUAUGUGUGACAAGGAUCUGAAAGAGAAUGGAUGCGCGUCCGUGUGCGACUGAAUCCCUUUGUUGUCCAGCAGAAAUUAUCGUGACAUCCUAAGUCAACCGCACGGCAGUAAAACUUCUAAAAAUGAAAAACGCGACUCGCAAACAAACUUUAAAUUUUUUAAAAAUUCAAACUGUUCUCUCCAAGGUACUAGCUCAUAAAUACACAGACCUGCACACACUUUAAAAAAUAGAGGUACGCCAGAAACAACACGUGUUGGCUACAUUGCAUAAACUCUGGCACCAAUAAAAAUAAAUUCAGUUAUGAAAGUGAAAACAGAUGAGCUAGAAAAGCACGCCAAAAUAUAACUCCUUCCAGUGGAGCAAUACCGAAUUCAACCUUUUAAAUAAUUUCUCCCCCAGCUCUCCUUGCAACAGUUGCACUUGAGCUAGGACGAGACAGGCAUGGUACCGUCAAGGAACCAGGUACUUUGCAGGUGUCAAAACAACGUUCCAUGACAAAGAAGCUCUUCUAAAAGAACCAAGGCCAACGCAGAGGCGCUGGGUAAGCAAGCCGACCCCUCCCUGACGGGCACUCCUGCUCGCGGAGGCUGCCUGGAAGACGCAGGCUGCGUGGAGGGGUGGACGUAACGGGAAACUCAGGGAGGGGGCUGUGUGCUGGAAACCAAUGCAGUGAAUAGGAACCGAUGCUCCGUGUGCACAAAACAUGGCCCUAGGACCCAAGAGGUGACCCAGGGGAGAAGAAAUGGAUCUCGGCACGAGUGUCACUCCAGAAGUAACAGAGAACCAAGGAGCAUGGAGGGACCCGAGAGCACGGUCAGAGGGCGGGUGGAGCACCGCCCUUUGGAGGCGGCUAGGAUCUGGCAACAGGCGGGGCCCAGCAGGCGUAGGAGGUAAAGCACAAUGCGGGUGGUUGAGACCGUGGGGCCAGGAAGAUCUUGCUCAGUUUCAACUGGAUCCUGCAGGUGAGGCAGCAGCAGAAGGCUCCGGAGCAGAGGUGGGACACAGGCAGAACCGUGAUCAAAGACACUCGAUGGCACCACCUUGGGGGGAGGCAGAGCCGUGCGUGGGGAGUGAAGAGAGGCCACCCCUGAGCCAUGGGCCGCUUGGUGUGGACACCAGAAUUGGGGGACGGAUUGGGGGGCAGGGCCGGGGGAGAUGAAGGUGUCCGCGAUGACACUGACGUUUGAGUGUGAGGGGCUGGUGCACCAUCUGGGCUCUGGAUGUGGCAGGAGACGUUGCGGGUGGCCACUGGAGGGCUUGGUUGGCACGUGCUGAGUUUGAGGUGUCCUAGCCUUCCAGGCAAAGGUGCCAGGGGGCAUCAGAAGCAAUGGUCUCUAGUUCGGGAGUGAGAUGCAGAGUGAUGAGGUUCGAAGCCAAGGAGACGGACGGUAUCCGCCCGGGGGACCACUCACAGCCAGGAGAAACCCGUCUGACCGACCGGGUGCCUGAGUCGCUGUUACGCCCAGACUGCCAACCGACCCACCUUUCCUCUCCUCCUGUCCUGGUCUCACACACCCUCCAGGCCUAGCCCCCUCCCUCCAGGAAGCCCUCUGUGCUUCCUCCGGCCCCAGGGGUCCCUGCCCACUGUGAGCAUCUCGACGCUGGCGGUCUACACCUCAGCACCAGGUCUUAUGCUGCCCGAACCAGUCUCCGGAAGCAGAACCACCGUUGAGCCCCUUGGCUCUGGAUAGCUCCUGGCACAGAGCACCCAGGAGGCACUGAACAAACAGCUCCUCCUGGAUGGAUUGAGUAAUUGAUCAACCGCUGGGCUGGAGGCCAAGAAGGAGAGUGAGGAGAUCAGUGGUGAGCAGACUCAGGAAUGUCGGGUGUAUGCGGCAUCUACCGUUGCUGUCCGGGCUGCCGGCGCCAGGCCUGGACUCUGAUCUAGACGAGCAACAUGGAUACACUCAGAACACCGCUGAGGAAAAAGGAGUUACAGGUGUAGGGGAACCCGCUGGAGGUGUCCUGCCGUCUCCCAAAGAGCCCUGGGCCUCCCGGGCCCCCCCGUGCUUCCCCGCGCUCAGGGAGCCGGCUGAGGCCGUGUGGAUUUCUCUGGCUGAUGACAUGGGAGCAGAAGCUUCUGGAAGGAGGCUGGAAGAGCCGGCGCACAAGUCACCAUUGUCCUCUCUGUCCCUCUUGGCCUAGGUUGGCCCAAAUCUCUGAAUGGCUCCGAGGAACAGAACCCACCCCAGGGCAGACCCUCGUCACACAGGCACUGGAGUGAACUAGAAAUGCUUUCUGCAUUAAAAAAAAAAGAAAAAAAGAAAGAAAGGAAGAAAUGGGACUAAGGCAAAAAUCCUGGCGACCUCAGGUGGGUAUGCCUGAAAGAUCUAGUUCAUAUUUUUGGGUGGGGGCACCCUUGGCAUCUGGGGUGGACAAGGGGUUCUGCGGUUAGUUAUAGAAUGCUCACACCCCCAGCCUUGUCCAUGAAGUGCCAACGGAAUCCCGGGUCUGUGACAAGCCAAACUCUCACGUGCACACGUGCACACACUCCUGGGGGUGCUCUCAGCCCCGAGAGAACCAGGAAGGCCGGGGGUCACCAGAAGCGAGGAUGGGAGGGGCAGCGGGGACCUGGACGGGACAGCAGGGCUGGAGGAGGAGAGGAGCCGAGACCGCGGUGCUACCCAACCUGCUCCCCCAUCAGGGCUUCCGUUCGAUGCGGCACAUAGAGAGCGCGGCCGAUACUCUUCAGCCGACAGAAACGAGCGAGGACAUUGGGGGGUGAAAAGAGUUGGAGCUCGCAGAGCAAAAGUGGUCCAGUGUCCAUCUGUCAGAGCCGUGCGCCCGCACAGGGAACCGCACAGGAUGCUCUGGCCAUCCACGAAGUGUGUGCUCCUCCUCUCGCAGGCGGGAAGCAGAGCCAGAAAAGUGAGGGGACUGCCCACAGGGGACAGGGAAGCAGGAGAGCUGCUGCGGGGCAGGGGUGCCGGGCCUCGGAAGAGAGGGAGAUUCUGGACAGAGCAGGUGGGGCUGAGUGGCGACCUGGAUGGGACGACGGAGGUGGCGGGGGGUAGGGACCCCGGCCCAGGCUACAGGAAGCGGAAGAAGGGGACACAAGGGCGGCCUUCACCUUUCAGCCAAAUGCAGACCAUGUGGCAGGAACUCUGGCAGGCGGCUGCAGCUGUGAACUAACCAGGAUGGGAGAGGCUCCCUUCUGGGGCUCAGGCUCCCCGGGGCGGGGCGGGGAGGACCAGGGCCGCAGGGAACCACCCCAGG
rnacentral:lncRNA from 1 species